AAUGAAGUUGCACGUUGUGUAACCACGGCGAUGUCAACAGCGCAACGAGAACACGGCGAGUAUCUUUAAUGAAAAACACAAAAGAGUCGCUCAGUCACACACACCAAUUAUCUGUCAAGAGCUUGACAUAAUCUUCACAUCAAACAUCAGAAUGGGGGAAAAUGUGAUCUCACUGACUUGAAGAUUGAUACCACAGCUUCUUUUUGGAUCUCAGAAUGUCUGGCAGACAUAUCAUCGUGUAUGAAGGCUCAUCAGUUGAAGCUCAAUCCUAGAAAAACUGAACUGCUGAUCAUCCCAGCUGAUUCCCCAGGUCAUGAUCUUGCAAUAUUCCUGCAUAAUGAUCUGAUUUCCCUGUCAGUCACAGCUCGCAACCUUGGGGUAACCAUGGACACUCAACUGUUCUUUUCCUUGCAUGUUGCUAAUGUGAUACACUUAUGUCAGUUCCUUUACUACAACAUUAGAAGGAUUGGGCCAUUUUUGUCCACACAGGCUGCUCAGGUACUUGUUCAGUCUCUUGUUAUCUCAAGACUGGACUACUGCAACUCACUGCUGGCAGGUCUACCUCUGAAUGCAAUUCAUCCUCUGCAAAUGAUCCAAAAUGCAGCUGCAUGACUUGUUUUCAACCUGCCAAAGUUCUCGCAUACCACCCCGCUGCUGCGCUCCUUCCACUAGCUUCUGGUAGCUGCACGCAUCAGAUUCAAAACACUACAAAGCCAAAAAUGGACCAGCUCUCUCUUACCUCAAAGCCUCACUCCUCGCACUGCACCUCGCACCCUCAGAACUACCAGCACUGCUUUACCGGCCCCACCAUCUCGCAGUGUAAGAGCUAAGUAUACAACAAAACUCUUUUCUCUUCUGGCACCAAGGUGGUGGAAUGAACUUCCCCUAGGCGUCCAGACAGCUGAGUCACUGGGUCAUCUUCAAACAAUGGGUGAAAACCUACUUCUUCAUAAAAUACUUGAACUAGCACCUUAUCCCCCUUAUUUGUUGUAUGUGUGUAUUUAAAGGAAUAAAACAACUUUGAACAGUGUUUUAGGCUCAUGGUAUCUUAAGUCUGCAAACUAGUGAAUGUAUUCAAUGACAGCGUUAAUGUAUUCAAUAAUAGAGACUUAAAAACACUUUUGUACAUUGCUCUGGAUAAAGGCAUAUUCCAAAUGCUGGAACUGUAAAUGUAAAUUUAAUGUCCAAAUUUGAGUGGG